CUUUAUCACUUUCAGAAACACCUCAAGGUUGUCUUUUUUAAAAAAGAAAGGAAAGGAAAAGAAAAGAAAAGAAAAGAAAAUGGUAUGUUUGAUUGUUACCAUGCUCAAUUAUGUUUGAGAGUUCCCAGGAACCACAAUGUCUACUAAACUACUUGCCAAUCCAUGGUUUCAUGGCUUUGUGUUCAAUUUUGUCAGCUGAAAAGAGGGUGUGUUCUCACCGCGGGAUCGGAGUGGCUCCCCGAGCAAAGCGCAAAGCGCAAGAGAGGCUCCGACUGAUGAACGGCAAAGGCCUGCCACUCGCCGCCGCCGGCUUUGCUGAUGCUUCCC
rnacentral:lncRNA from 1 species